rnacentral:sRNA from 1 species
AUUUUAGAUAAAGAGUUUAGAAAGAUUUUAGCGCAUGGCUCAAGCAGAGCCCUUUCCCAAGGCCAGAUAAGCGGAAUUUAUCUGGCCUCUUUUU